GGGGAAUUUUGGACAAUGGGGGCAACCCUGAUCCAGCCAUCCCGCGUGUGCGAUGAAGGCCUUCGGGUUGUAAAGCACUUUUGGCAGGGAAGAAAAGCCGCGGGUUAAUACCCUGCGGUGCUGACGGUACCUGCAGAAUAAGCACCGGCUAACUACGUGCCAGCAGCCGCGGUAAUACGUAGGGUGCAAGCGUUAAUCGGAAUUACUGGGCGUAAAGCGUGCGCAGGCGGUUCGGCAAGAAGGAUGUGAAAUCCCGGGGCUUAACCUCGGAACUGCAUUCUUAACUGCCGGGCUAGAGUAUGUCAGAGGGGGGUAGAAUUCCGCGUGUAGCAGUGAAAUGCGUAGAGAUGCGGAGGAAUACCGAUGGCGAAGGCAGCCCCCUGGGAUAAUACUGACGCUCAUGCACGAAAGCGUGGGGAGCAAAC
rnacentral:rRNA from 1 species